CGGCCAUGAUGAAAUCAUUCAGUUUUUGUGAUUCGUUGAGUGCACAUCAUCGUUGUAAAAAGUGCUAAAACGUUGAACAGUACUCAAAGUGAAAGCUUUUGUCGUCCACAGCAGUUUCAGACAAAGAAAAUUAAAAAGUUACAAACUGAAUCCAACGAAUUCACAAAUUCAGUACGAAAUCAGUAUGUGAAAAGUGACGCACUCAUUUGACGUCCCGGGCAUGAACGCUUUGGUUCGUCUCAUAUCCAGCUAAAAAUUUAAAUUGUACUACUUCUUGGUCAAUCAAUAUCAUGCAUAUUUUCGAUGGGUUCGAAAAUGAAAUGUGGCAAGUUUAGUUGAGCGUGUUUCGGUCUCAUUCAGAAAUGGUGUGCAGUUGAAAUGAGGGAAAAGUUGAUGUGUUCGCGAAUUAAGCAGCUGAAAUUUCGUGUGGGUUCGAUUCUCGAUUUUUCCAAUCGUUGUGUGUUCUUCUAUUCUGUCUACCAUCAGACGAAGAGAGAGAGAGAGAGUGCUUAGCAGUUAGCUUGUGGAGAUGGAUUGGAGCGUCGACGACUUCUGGCUCGUUCGUUUGCAUCCAGAUACACAGCUAAUGCGCAUGGAGCGUGGAAGCUCAUCCGUGUGUACUUGCUAUCGAAAUUGGCCUCUCAUUAAACGGUCUCACUAAAACAGUCUACUCACAAACAGACAUGGUUCUUAAACAUACACCCAUGACUAUAACACACAGGUCACCUUUGAACAUUUUGAACAUCAUAAAUCCCAUAAACUUUAUCUUUUAUAGAAGAAUGUCUAAGAAAAAUAGCAUGACAAAAUUAAGCGAACGUGCGUGCUUGCGUGUGAAAAAUGAAACACAGAAAACAUUUUCUGGCGCUUUGUAUGAACGAUCUGGAAACGAUUUUGGUUACAAUAAUUAUAGCUAUUCAUCGACUGUACGAUAUCUCAAUCGCAAUGACAUCGUUUGCUGACGGCCGUGACGUCUUUUACCAUUCUUCUUCUUUUUUCUUCUUGUUUUUGUUUCUCCUUCUUCUUUGAAUGUGUUACCAUUUAAUAGAGAAACAAUGUGGCAGUAGCGCGGGCAUCGCAGAUAUAUUGUUAGGUCACAUGAAUCACAUAGUGCUGACACCAAUUAAUCAUCACAAAACACACACAUAUAGACCAGAACGUGAACGUGAACUGAACUGAGUCAUAACUGAAAUGUAUAAUCUACUAUAACAAAGAAACUGAGACGUUCUCAACGUCGACGUACUGAUAAGUUGCGAAAAAAAAUACCAUUCAAUCAAUUUUAAAUCACUUUUCUACCCGAAAGUCCGUUUCCGUUGAAACGCGACCUCCCCCCACACUAAUGAGUCUAUUAUAUUCUUUAGCAGCUAUUAGAUAAAUGACAUACACACACACACACACUUACAUACAGCACGUUAAAGUCGAUGACUGCAACAGAAUCGAGGGUGAAUCGUUUCAUUGCAAUGCAUCGCAUCCAUAUCACGUGAAAGCAGCUUGACAAUUAGUCUGAUACCGUAUAAAGAGAUUGAGUUUGGGGUCCACUUCAAGGAUAAGUGAUGUUCUCAGUUAUUCUGCAUACAAAAAUCAUCUUACCUAUCUAUCUAUAUAUAUAAAUCGUUCCAAAAUUGAACAAAACACAAUUUAUAGCAGCAUCGAAUAGCUGUUCCAAUUUAUUCAUUCAAUUGCUGUUUCUUCUUCAUCUAGACGUGUGAGAAUUGCUGUUUGCGAGAACAUAAAUUGUUGCUCAGGCUCAGGAUAGCUCCCAAAUCGGUUUUGGUCUUUCCUGCAAUCAAUUAUCCAUUUUACAACGAUGUGUGUAAUAAACAUUUCAAGACUUAACACAACAAGUGAAUCCCGGUGCAAAGGCAUGAUGAGAUCAAGUUUUAUGUAUAUUUUCUAUAAGGUUUUAUUGUUUGAAUUUAUGAAAAAUGAAAAUCGUUUUCUGAAAUAACACCCCAUCACAACCAUAACCGGGGUGAAAAUUGUGUUCCAUUCAUAGUUUUUUGCAGAGAAUAUUUAUUCUAUUGUACACGAUAAACAAUGACAGCGGAAUCGAAUCGAUUGAUGCACGUACAGCCAAUGAGUGAAUCGGUCAACGCACCAGUGCCCAGAGUCAGCACAUGUAAAUGGCCAAAGAUAAAAAAUAAUAAUAAUCGAAAAACUGUGUGUUUGAGUCGAUAAGUAGCAUUAUAAUUUGUUGAACAUUUGUAAAAUGAAUCCGUGUGUUGUACCGACGACAACGGAUUACUUAAAUUCAUAAACAAAAGUCUUCGUCUAUUCAUUAGGAAUUACUCUAUAGGAUAACUUAAGUUCGAGACAACUUCGGUGCGAAAAAAUAAUGAAAAUCAUUCUCAAAUCCAAUUGGCUGCUACGAAAAUACUGAGACUCUGUGCGUGUGUGCGCUUAAUACUCUGCAAUAUAGUGGCUAUGUUUUCGGACUGAAACACAUUAGCGCAAGUGAUCGUUUUCUAUUUUGUGUUCAAGUGCAUGUAUUUUUUUUUUUCUCUUAUUAGAAUCACUUUCAGCUUUAAACAUUUAAUGCCCAUGCCAUGGGCAAUCUCUUUAAACUAAUCGAACAGUUUCUCUUCUGAUUUAUUUUUUUUUUCUGGCACAUGAAAAAUUAGUGAAUGUUAUUGUUCUAGUUCGUGACACAUAAAUUGUGUGAUUCAUCAACAUGAAAAUGUAUUUACACAUAUAGCAGGCGAUUCUACGAUACAAUUUACAAUUCUUUGAUAUUUCAUUCGGGCGGUCAACCAUCUGUUUCUUUUUACAAAAAUCAAUUUGUAUCAAAAAGCGUAAGCUAAAAACCACUUUCAAUUCAUUUGUCGUAAAAAAUUGUAUUUCGGUUACAGGAUCUCUUAUUCACAAAAAUCUACAUGGCAUAACUUGUGUUGAAAUCUCUAAAAGCAUGGUCAACCAAAAUGGAUGUUCGUUGUCUUGUGUCCCGCUAAUUAAAGCAAAAAUACUUAAAUUAUGAAAUUUUGUAUUUAAAAAAGAAAAAGAAAAAGAAAAAGAAAAAACCUUUACUCAAUGCCCAACGGAGGCUUAUUCAAAUGAAAAAAAAAAAUGAAAUUGUAAAAUUCCAAUGCAAUACUGUACUGUACAAAAUGCCAAAUGUAUAACAUAUCGAAUAUUGUAAUGAUUGUUAACAAUUAAGUUAAUUUGAAAUUGAAAUUUUGAAAAGUAAACAAAAUGUGAAACCAUCUAGUCAGACUAAGUCGAGCGUGUCGGCGCCAGUGUGUUGAACGAGUUUCAUGGUAAAAUUUGGACGUUACCGAUCCAAUUCAUGAAUACUCAGGUAUUUGAUGUGCAAAUCCGAAUUUAAAACACAUAAUAUUUUCAUUUUGUUAUACCAUUUGUUGUUAAAUCAACUGGCUUCGCUUCGGCGCUGCCGAUAAAUCACUAACGGUUUCUUUUCUGAGCAGAAUUUCUUUUUAAUUAGUGUGAGAAUAUAAAAUGAUAUAGCCGCAUAUAGAUAGAGAGAAUCAUCUUGCCACCGAGAGAGCAUCUGUACAUUUAACAUAUGCUGAAACCGAAACAAAUGGUUGAAUGAAGAGUGAUUCUGUACACAGCGCCUAGAUCGUUUCGAUAUUUAAAUUCAUAUUCUCUGCACAUCCGAAGUGUUCAAACAGACACAGAAUCAUCGCAGAUUUGUCUACCAUCAACAAUUAACCGGUUAUCAAAACAAAACAAAACAAUAUUCAUUUUCAAUUAGUCGCAUAUUGUAGUAUUUAGCUGGCAUCAUGCAAAACAAUAACCCGUUACUCGGGUAUUGCUAAUUUAACGUUCAAUCGAACGCCCUUUCUAUAUUUUUGUCUAAAUCUAAUAGAGAUAAUGCAGCCACAUAAAUGAAAUGAAACUUAUUUAGACGGAAUACGUAUUGGCCAUAUCGAACACAGGCAACUUUUGGGGUUUUUUUUUUACUCAACAACUGGCACUCAUUUAUGUCAUCAACAAUGCAAUCCAUGAUUGCUGACGUCUUCGACUGUAUUAAUUGUUCUGUGUAUAUUGGGAUGGUAAAACGAAACUUUUCGAAUUCCGUGCAUACGAAACCAUCUUUUAGACUCAUUUCAGAUUUUAAUUUGAUUGGAAUUACGAAAGCAACAAACAAUAACACAUUCUCCGAAUGCAGUUCAAAUGAGCAAACUCUUCCAACUGAUAUAGUCUUGUCUUCAUGUGUAUUAUGUGUGUAUGCUGCCACGAUGCAGAAUCUUUGGGGUUGAUUUUACUGAUCCGCGUGGCUGAAUUAUUUGAAACUCGCACUAGACAUCAUUCCACCCACACAUCAUUUCUAUUGUGCGGCGUAGUGUUUACUUCCUUGGGGCCUUUUUCUAUUCUCGAUAUCAUCAAAAAAUCAUCUGUUCUUCCUUUUCGUGUAAUACAAUCACCAAUCGAAUGCUUGCGGUUUUCUAUUUUGAGGGGCUACUCAUCCAGAUCAUAAACAAGUUGAUCAAAAAAAUUGACGAAAAUUCGAUGCAAACAAUUUCUUGAAAUGGAGCGAAUGUUUCGUUUUUAAAACAACGAAAUCCUAACUAUUAGCAAAGUCAAGAAUAUAAAUAUUCACAACACAAAUAUCAUGACAUCAAUCAACUGCUCACCACUGUACUUAUACACUUAAAAUGUUACAUCAUAAGUCAAAAUCUUCAAUCAACGAUCGCAACAAAUGUUCGACACAAUCCAUUUCACACUGGGGAAAAUUUACGCUUUUAUUUAUAACACAAACAUUAUUCAAAAUACAUUCGCUCCAAUGCAACGAAUAUCUUAUCUGUUUCCUGUACUUUGCACAUUGAUCAACGGUGGAAUCAUCAUCUACACAUUUUUGAUAUAAAAAUCUAGAAAUUAGUGGUGGUUAUUGAAAACAGCGACGACGGUGCUUGGGAUAUAGCAAACAUCGACAUCGGAGCCUUAUGGAAUGGAAAACAGCGUCUACGGUGCAUGGGAUUAUGUGAACAGCGUCAACGGUGCGUUUGGAUAUUGUAAACAUCGACAGCGGAGCUUUCAGGGAUGGAACUCCAUGGUAAACAGCGUCAACGGUGCCUUGUGUGAUCGGCGUUCUGGCUCAUCGGCAACGGUGCCUUGUGCACUAGGCAACGUCAACGGAGCCUUGUGACUACCAUUCUCAACGUCAGCGGAGCAUUUGGAUCCGGACUGGAUCAGCGAUAUUUCAUUUUUUUUUCUGGCCAUUUUAUAUGGAUUUUUCAGCGAAAACUUAAAAGAUUCUCAAUUUGACGAAUCGUAAUCAACCCAAACAUCAAUUUCAAUGCACAUAAUCCAAACGAAAUCAGCUUUAAAAAGCCAAUCUCUACAUAAUUUAAAUGUCGUCAAUGGGGGGUGUUUUUUUGUUUCUCUUAAAUGUUGAGAAAAUAUACUUUCAUUUAUUGUUCAUGUUUUGCUGCAUACACUGAUAUAUAUAUAUUUAUAUAAAUAUAUUUGGAAAUACUUUGCAAAAACGA